rnacentral:lncRNA from 1 species
UCGGGUGUGCUUAUAGACACUUCCUAACAUAUAUUGAAGCUUUCUAGCUUUAAAAAUUCAUAUCUUUUAUCAAUUUACUCGUGAUCGGUCUUAAAUAACUCACGCAUGCCGGGUUUUAUAAAGCUGUUGAAUUUGCUAUUUUGAUUGGUAUUGAGUGACUUUCCAAGAUACCGUUCACUUCAAAUUUUUUCAUAUUGACACCAGGAAUCUUAAUUUUAAAAGAAAAUGAGGUAUUGCCACUCAUUUCAAAUUUCACCCAAUUUGAGCCAAAUUUACUUGCUACAGCACACUAGUUUCUAGCUAGUUUCACUUUUUUUGGGACUCUGGCUUUUUCCGUUCGGGUGUGCUUAUAGACACUUCCUAACAUAUAUUGAACCUUUCUAGCUUUAAAAAUCCAUGUCUUUUAUCAAUUUACUCGCGAUCGGGCUUAAAUAACUCACGGGUGCUGGGUUUUAUAAAGCUGUUGAAUUUGCUAUUUUAAUUGGUAUUGAGUGACUUUCCAAGAUUCCAUUCUCUUCAAUUCUUUUCAUAUUGACACCAGGAACCUUAAUUUUAAAAGAAAAUGAGGUAGUGCCACUCAUUUCAAAUUUCACCCAAUUUGAGCCAAAACCACUUGCUAUAGCACACGAGUUUCUGGCAAGUUUCACUUUUUUUAAGCCUUCGCCUUUUUCCGUUUGAGUGUGCUUACAGACACCUCCUAACAUAUAGUGAACCAUUCUAGCUUCAAAAAUCCGUGUCUUUUAUUAAUUUACUCGCGAUCAGGCCUAAAUAAACUCACACGUGUCGUGUUUUGUAAAGCUGUUGAAUUUGCUGUUUUAAUUGGUAUUGAGUGACUUUCCAAGAUUCCGUUCACUUCAAUUUUCAUAUUGACACCAGGAACCUUAUUUUAAAAGAAAAUGAGGUAUUGCCCCUCAUUCCAAAUUUCACCCAUUUUGAGCCAAAACCACUUGAUAUAGCACACGAGUUUCUAGCCAGUUUCACUUUUUUUGGGACUACGGAUUUUUUCGUUCGGGUGUGCAUAUAGCCACCUCCUAAUAUAUAUUGAACAUUUCUAGCUUUAAAAAAUCCAUGCCUUUUAUCAAUUUACUCGUGAUCGGGUUUAAAUAACUCACGCGCGCCAGGUUUUAUAAAGCUGUUGAAUUUGCUAUUUUAAUUGGUAUUGAGUGACUUUCCAAGAUUCCGUUCUCUUUGAUUCUUUUCAUAUUGACACCAGGAACCUUAAUUUUAAAAGAAAACGAGGUAUUGCCACUCAUUUCAAAUUUCACCCGUUUUGAGCCAAAACCACUUGCUAUAGCACACGAGUUUCUGGCAAGUUUCAUUUUUUUUGGAACUCCGGCUUUUUCCAUUCGGGUGUGCUUAUAGACAGUUCCUAAUAUAUAGUGAACCAUUUUAGCUUUAAAAAUCUAUGUCUUUUAUCAAUUUACUCGCGAUCUGGCCUAAAUAAAGUCACGCAUGCCGUGUUUUGUAAAGCUGUUGAAAUUGUUGUUUUAAUUGGUAUUGAUUGACUUUUUAAAAUUAUGUUUUCUUCAAUUCUUCUCAUAUUGACAUUGGAAACCUUAGUUUCAAAAUAAAAUGAGGUAUUGUUCCUCAUUUCAAGUUUACCCAAUUCGACCCAAAACCGGUAGCACACAAGUUACUGCCCAGUUUCACUUUUUUUUUUGUCUCCGGUUUUUUCGUUCGGGUGUGCUUACAGACACCUCUUAACAUAUAGUGAUGUGGAUCAACUUGGACUUCAUUAGAUCGAGUCCGGACCGACUUCGUCUCCUAUCUCCAGCCUCUCUACAUCGACGGAGCAUCGAUCGUUCUUAGUCGUCCGGCCACCUCUCGACAUCCAACCGGUGUCAACAGCUUCGUCUCGUCGUCCCCAACCUCUAUGUGUUCUUUCGAAAAGGAGCUCCGGCGAGAGAGAAAAGAAGAAGAGAAGGAUUUCUAGGUUCGCCGGUGAUCUUUGAAUUUCAGCCACGACGACGAGUACGACCGGUGUGAAUAGCUUCGUCUCGGUCUCGUCGAUGUCGAUAUCCACCAAGAAGCCACCAUGACUCGCCAUGGGGUCGCUAUGACCCUCCUAGGCCCAUCGAGGGCCGCCAUAACCCACCUUAGGGCAGCCAAGGGGGCACCAUGACCCACCUAGAGCCGCCAAGGAGAUGCAUUUACACGCCUUGACCCCCCUAAGGCCACCUUGACCUCGCCAAAGGGCCGCUAAGGGGACGUCUUGACCCUCCACGGGGCUGCCUUUAAACGCCUAGGGCUGUUUUGACCUCCCUAUGGCCCGCUAUAACCCGUCUUGACCCGCCUUGAACAGCCUUGACCCUCCUAGACCCGUCUAGGGCCGUCUUGACUCUCCUAGACUCGCCUAGGGCCGCCUUGACCUCCCUAGGGCCCGCCUUGACCCGUCUUGACCCGCCUUGAUCCGUCUUGACCCGUCUUAACCCGCCUUGACCCGUCUUAACCGGCCUUGAUCUGCCUAGGCCCAUCUUGGCCUGUCUUGACCCGCCUUGGACCGCCUUGAACGGCCUUGACCCUCUUAAACCCGCCUAGAGCCGCCUUAACCCUCCUCGACCCGCCAAGGGGUUGCCUAGGGCAGCCAUGGGGUCGUCUUGACCCACCUUGACCUGCCUUGGACCGCCUUGGGCCGCCUUGACCCUCCUAGACCCGCCUCGGGCCACCAAGAAGCCGCCAUGACUCGCCAAGGGGUCGCCAUGACCCGCCUAGGGUUGCCAAGAGACUGUUUUAACUCGUCUUGGCCCGCCUUAGGCCGCCAUGACCCAUCUUGGCCCGCCUUGACCCUCAUUGGCCCUGCUAGGCCCACCUAGGGAAGCCAAAGGGGCCCAUGACCCACCUAGGGCUGUCAAGGGGCUGCCAUUUUGAAGGUCCUAGAGGGGGAGUGAAUAGGCCCUGACAACUUUUUGCUCUAUCCCGCUUACAAGGAUAGCAAAGAUUUGGCUAUCUUGUUUGCUGUGAGACUAAGUUGUGAAUGUAAAUAUGCGAAUACUGGAAAGUAAAGAUAUAACACCAGUAUGUUUUUUACUCGCAGAAACCCUGCAACCAGGGAGAAAAACUACGUGCCUCUAACUCCUGAGAGGCAAACUUUUCCACUAUUGUAAACACACUUUUUACAAGACUCACAACUCAGAGGAUGGCACAACGCCUAGCCAUACUGCCUAGUCUACCACUAGCACUCAACUGAACUUGCUCUCUUAUCUCUCAAGUGUUUUACACAUAGGGCUAUGCUAAGCUUCAAAGCAGAACUUAACUAACGCCUUUAGCUAAUUCUCUGAGACAGCUUACAACUUGCUUCACACGAACUUAACUAACUCCUUAGCUAAUUCUCUAUGAAGACUUCACCGGGUUGCAUCACCUAGACCGCUCUCAAGGUAUGCAUGAACAAUGAACAAUGAAACGGGUUUUGAAAAUGUUUUGGUGCUCAGCUCUAAGAUUUAUAAUCAACGAGGAAGACUUAGAGCAAAGGAGCAAAGGAGCAAUAAUGCUAAGACUCAAGGGGAGAAAAUGCAAAUGAUAAUUUUCAACAACCAAGGAGUAUGAGGAGCAGAGCCUCAUAUAUAUAGGCAAAGUGCCAGCCAUGAACGGGCAGGCACAAUUGCCAAUUCAAGAUGGCUUCAUAUUUGGACUGUAGUGAUUUGUCUUCCUGAAAGUAGGACAGAAAGGGACUGACAGAUCCAACACGCCUAAAGCAGAGGCAAGGAGAGAUUUUCCCAGAUGGGAAUGAAGCCAACAGAAAAAGACAAAUGGUUUUGAAAAACUUAAUCAGUUUGGUCAGGCAUAAAGACUCUACAAAACCAUUUUUCCUAAGAGGGUAUUUAGGACAGCUGAUAGCUUGGGCGGUGGAUCACAUGGACUAGCCGCUGACUUGGUUUGUGUAUCACAGAAACCCAGCUGGACUCAAUGAGGCUCUAGUCAUGUGGUCACGGGUUGGUUGCCACACCAUCCUAGACUGACUUGGAGCCUAAGUACGAAUAAACUAAUGUUUUGCUAAAAGGAUUUGAGAUUCAAAUACUUAACAACUGAAGCAAAUACAUUUGAAUAUGCACCUGGACAGACUCAGAGAUCAGGACAGAUACAAGCAUGGGUAUCAUCCAAUCUAGGAUGGCAAGUGAAACUGCCAUCCUCAGUGAAGAAUAUGUGAUGCAUAUGCACAUGAACUACCUGAUUCACUUGAGAACGGUCAGGUCUUCAAUCUUCACUUGAGCUAUCAUGUCUUCAGGACAUGAAGUGCGGUUUGUGCCUUGUGUAUUUUGACCAUAAGGAAUUGCCAAUAAAUCUUAUACCAACACUUUUCACUCCUUAACCAUCCUAGGCUCGCCUGAGGCCACCUUGACCCUUCUAGGGCCGUCAAGAGGCCGCCAAGGGGACGUCUUGUCAGGACUCACCCCGAAUUUCACCUUGAAACCCGAAGUAAACCCUGCGGGGACCACCUCUAAGGAAAGUUUACCGAAAAUUCGGCAUAACCGCCCUUGAAAAUGGACAACCCUUCCUAAUAAUACCUGCAUACACUUCUGAAAAUCUAAAUCCAACCUUAAACUCCUGGAGCCUUUGUGCUCCCCCAAAUCACAACAUCUCCCAAUCUAUUUACUAACUUUAAAAAGAAAAUCUCACAUCUAACAACCACAGCUCAGAGCAACUCUAUUUGAGAGGAAAUGAACUAGAAAUAUAAAAAUUAGCGAAAACUAUACUAUUGACUAUGUCUCGUCUCCAUGUACGCCCGACCUCAACUAUGCAAUCCUGCAAACUGGGCAUUUUUAAAACGAAAGGCCCAGGGGAAAACAUUUGAAAACGUAAGAGUGAGUGGACAAAAGUAAAUUUAAAAGAAACGACCAAUAAAUAUCUUUGUGCUUUCCCAAUUUAAUUUCCGAGGAAAAAUCGAAUGCAUGCCUCAAGUGAUAAAACAUUCAUCUCAUAAAUAUCGAGCUUCUCAAGCUCUAAAAUAUAUAUGUAUGUAUUUACACACGUCCAUACUCCCUAUAUAAUCUUAUAGAUUUAUAUAGGGCUACUACUCUCGCGUCCAACGCUCACGCCACGCCUUAAUGCGGUGAUACACUACGCCAUUAAGGUGGACAUACGGGUGUAUAAAUAUAUGCCCAUACACCCUAUAUGAAUUAAACACUCAUAUAGGGUUACUACGCUCACGUCCAACGCUCACGUCACACCAUAAUGCGGCUAUAUGCUAUGCCAUUAAGGUGGACAGACACAUAUGACUAGUUAGCAUUUAUAUACAUACUCUCCUCAUAAAUACAUAAUUAUAUUCACCGAAAAUCUCAUUUUCAGUAUCUCUCCAAGAGAAAUAAAAUCAUCAAAAUUAAAAUGACGUCAAAUGCUCCAACAAAAAUUAAUUGUUCAUCCAUGAACCAUAGCAUGCAUAUUAUUUAAAAACAAAAGUCCACUCACAACUUUAGGCAUAAGCCUGACAAAAUCCAGUUCACCACUCAAGUGAGGUCUCCUCGAAUCCUGACACAAUAACCAUGCUUAGGACCAAACUUCAAUUUCAGAAAAAAUAAUACUUAAAUAUAUAACCCAAAACUCUUCCGCCUAAUCCACUACCUUUUCUAGGGUUAAGCUUAUCGGAUUUACGUCAAACUCCAACCACAGCCUCAAUUCAUUUAUUUCAACAUUCUAAAACAAUAAUAAAGAAAAUCCAACGGUCAGAUUCUACCCCAUUAACCGCCAAAUUCACCAAUCUUUCAAAAAUCCCAAACCUAUCCAAAACUCCUCCAAAAAUUUCAAACGUCACAUCAUUAAACUCCCCUUAAUAUUACACAUUUAAAACCAUGAAAAACCUCCUAACAGCGGCGGCCGGAGGCCGACUCCGACGACCUCCAAUGCCUACCAAAUUUUAACAACUUCAUCCUCUCAACACACUCUACAACUUUCUAACUAGUACCAAGUCAAAUUUCAAGCUUAACUAGGCCAAUCGAACAAAAACUUACAAUAAAACCCUAAACUUCAAACACUCGAAUCUCCUUACCUAGGCCAAGAGGGAGCGAAACCUUUGGAGGGAUGAAUGCACGGGAGGAGAGCCUCAUUUUGAGCCAAGUAGCUCCGGUUGUGGUGGCCGGAGGAGGGAGUUCCGGCGAGAGAACCACCAUGGCAGUCGGACCUUUCGGGCGAGAUAACUCCCUCACGGCGGAGCUAGGGCAGCUCUCACCGGUCCAGGAAGAAGGUUGGGUCGACGGCCGACCGUUUGGGACCGGUGCGGCGGUCGGAGCUAGCCGGACGGUGACGGGCGGACGGCGGGAAGCUUCCGGCAACGGGAGAGAGGGAGGGAGAAAGUCAGGAGGAAGAGAGAGAAAAGAAAAGUGUUGGGCUUUUCCCAAUCAGUUUCUACCCAACCCAACUAUAAACCCAACUCCAAAAUAACACCACAAAAAAUAAUACCCUAAUAAAAAUUACCUUUUUACUAGCUAAAUUUUACCUUUUUUACCGGCGUCAAAUUUUUCUCCUACGAAAAUUCCUCCGAAAUAAACGUCCCUUGAAACCCCUCUAGGGACCUUUGAAACUAUAAACUCAUUGACGAAGACGAUAAACCUUUUAUUACUACCAAGCUAGUAAAUAAGGUAAAAAUUUAAGAGUCGGGAUGUGACACGUCUUGACCCGCCAAGUGGUACCAUUUACACGCCUAGGGCUGUUUUGACCUCCCUAAAGCCACCAAGGGACCGCCUUGACCCGUUUAGGGGCUGCCUAGACCCUCCUAGACCCGCCUAGAUCCUCCUUAACCCUCCUCGACCCGCCUAGGGCAACCAUGAUGCCACCAUGACUCGCCAAGGGGUCACCAUGGCCCUCCUAGGCCCGUCUAGGGCAGCCUUAACCUGCCUUAACCCGCCUUAGGCCGCCUUAACCCGUCUUAGGCCACCUUGACCCUCCUAGACCGCUUAGGGCCGCCUUGACCCUCCUAGACCCACCAAGGGGUUGGUUAGGGCCGCCAUGGGGCCCCCUUGACCCACCUUGGACCGCCUUGACCUGCCUUAAACCGUCUUGACCCUCCUAGACCUGCCUAGGGCUGCCUUGAUCCUCCUAGACCCGCCUUGGGCCACCAAGACUAUCCAAAGGGUCGCCUUAACCCGCCUUGACUCGUCUUGGCCAGCCUUGACCCUCCUCGGCCAAACUAGGCUCACCUAGGGUAGCCAAGGGGGCGCCAUGACCCACCUAGGGCCACCAAGGGGCUGCCUUUACAAACUUUGACCCUCCUAGACCCGCCUAGGGCCACCUUGACCCGUCUAUGGCCGCCAAGAGGCCGCCUUAACCUGCCUAGGGCCGCUAAUGGGAUGUCUUGACCCGCCGAAGGGCUACCUUUACACGCUAAGGGCUACCUUUACCCGCCAAGGGGCCUCCUUGACCCGCCAUGGACCGCCUUAGGCUGUCUUAACCCGCCUUGACCAGCCUUGAACAGCCUUAGGCCGCCAUGACCCUCCUAGACCCGCCUUAGGUCGCCUUGACCCGCCUUAAACCGCCUUGACCCGCCUUAACCCGUUUUGGGCCGCCUUGACCCACAAUGGCCCGCCUUGGGCUGCCUUGACCCACAAUGGCCCACCUUGGGCUGCCUUGACCCGCCUUGACCAUCCUUGGGCCAUCUUGACCCGCAUUCACCCGUCUAAGGCCGUCGAGAGGUCACCUUGACCUGUUAACGGGCUGCUUUGACCCUCCUAGACCCUGCUAAGGCCACGUAGGGCCACCAAAUGGCCGCCAUGACUCGCCAAGGGGUCCCCAUUACCUCCUAGGCUAGUCCAGGGCUGCCAAGGGACCGCCUUGACCCGUCUUGGCCCAUCUUGACCCUCCCUGGCCUUCCUUGACCCGCCUAGGGCCGCCAAGGGGCUGCUAAGACCCGUCUAAGGCCUCCUUGUCUAGCCUAGUGCCACCAAAGGCCGCCUUGACCCUCCUCGGCCCUUCUAUGCCCACCUAGGUCAGCUAAGGGGGAGCCAUGACCCACCUAGAGCCGCCAAGGGGUUGCCUUUACCUGCCUUGACCCGUCCAAGGCCGCCAAGGGGACAUCUUGACAUGCCUAGGGCCACCAAGAAGCCGCCUUGGGGACGUCUUGACCGGCCAAGAGGCUGCCUUUUCAUGCCUAGGUUUGCUUUGACCUCCCUAGGGCCCGUCAUGACACACCUAGGGCCGCCAAGGGGCUGCCUACAGCCACCAUGGGGAUACCUUGACCCGUCUAGGGCCGCCUUGGCCCAUCUUGGCCCGCUUUGACCCCCCUUGGCCCGCCUUGACCCGCAUUGGACCGCCUUGACCCGCUUUGGACCGCCUUGGCCCGUCUUGACCCGCCUUGACUCUCCUUGACCCUCCUUGACCCGCCAUGGGUGUCAUGUUUAGUAAAGCUGUUGAAUUUGCUGUUUUAAUUGGUAUUUAGUGACUUUCAACAUUUCGUUCUCUUCAAUUCUUUUCAUAUUGACACCGGGAAACUUAAUUUUAAAAGAAAGGGAGGUAUUACCCCUCAUUUCAAAUUUCACCCAAUUCAAGCCAAAACCACUUGCAAUACCACACAAGUUUCUAGCCAAUUUCACAUUUUUUGGACUCCGGCUUUUUUCGUUCGGGUGUGCUUAUAAACUCCUCUUAACAUAUAUUGAACCAUUCUAGCUUCAAAAAUCCAUGUCUUUUAUCAAUUUACUCGUGAUCGAGCUUAAAUAAACUCACAUGUGUCGUGUUUUGUAAAGCUGUUGAAAUUGUUGUUAUAAUUGGUAUUGAGUAACUUUUUAAGAUUAUGUUCUCUUCAAUUCUUCUCAGAUUGACAUCGGAAACCUUAGUUUCAAAUGAAAAUGAGGUAUUGUCUCUCAUUUCAAGUUUCACCCAAUUCGAGCCAAAACCACUUGUUAUAGCACACGGGUUUCUGCCCAGUUUCACUUUUUUUGGUCCUCCGGCUUUUUCUAUUCUGGUGUGGUUACAGACACCUCCUACCAUUUAUUGAACCAUUUUAGCUUUAAAAAUCUGUGUCUUUUAUCAAUUUACUCGCUAUCGGCUAAAAAAAAACUCAUGCGUGUCGUGUUUAGUAAAGCUGUUGAAAUUGCUGUUUUAAUUGGUAUUGAAUGACUUCCCAAGAUUAUGUUCUCUUCAAUUCUUUUCAUAUUGACACCGGGAACCUUAUUAUUAAGUGAAAUUGAGGUAUUGCCCCUCCCUCAUUUCAAAUUUCACCUAAUUCGAGCCAAAACCACUUGUUAUAGCACACGAGUUUCUGUCCAAUUCCACUUUUUUUGGGCCUCCAGCUUUUUUCGUAUGGGUAUGCUUACAGACACCUGCUAACAUAUAGUCAACCAUUCUAGCUUCAAAAAUCUGUGUUUUUUAUCAAUUUACUCGCGAUCGGGUCUAAAUAGACUCCCGCGUGCCGUGUUUUGUAAAGCUGUUGAAUUUGCUGUUUUAAUUGGUAUUGAGUGACUUUCCAAGAUUCUGUUCUCUUCAAUUCUUUUCAUAUUGACACCAGGAACCUUAUUUUUAAAAGAUGAGGUAUUGUCCCUAAUUUCAAAUUUCACCCAAUUUGAGCCAAAACCACUUGUUAUAGCUCACGAGUUUCUAGCCAGUUUCAUUUUUUUAGGACUCCGGCUUUUUCCGUUCGGGUGUGCUUAUAGACAC